CAGAGGGGGGAGGAGGAGUCACGAGGAGGGCGGCCCGGCCGCGCCUCUCGCCGGGCUCUGUCUCUCUGCCCGGGGCCCAGCCCGCACGCACCUUGGUCCUGCCCUGCACGCACAGUGCUCCUCAGUUUCUCUACCUUCUUCCGAGCUCUCCAGAGCACCACAAGGGGAGAUGCUCUGCUUUAGGGGAAGAACCGAUUGUCCUCCUCCUCCAAUUGUACUCGCGGAACCGAUACUUAUUGAUGCCUGUGACGUCCUGAGUAUCUAACAAGGGGCUUGAAACUGGAACCGACUUGGACCUGCCUGCCCUCACAACUGCUUGAAGAUUUAAGAGAUCGGACCUCUGUGGAAAUCCUUUCUCUCCUGUUUUGGAAUGGCUGUCAACAUGGCAAGUGCAGCGAUCAGUGAGGUUCCAUUCUAAACAGUCUACAUGCAUUAAUUCAGUAAUCCUCUCAACAACCCUAUGAAGUAGGUACUAUCAUUAUUCCAUUUUAUAUUUAUUCAUCCAACAAGGAUUUAUUGAUUUUUCUCUGUGUAGCAGGCACAAUUCUAGUUGGUAUACAUGCAGCAGUGAACAGUUCAGAGACAGCCCCAUAGAGCUGAUGAUCUAGAGGAGCAAACAAGCAAAACAUACAUUAUAUCAAACAGUGCUAAGUAUUGUGAAGGAAAUAACAGAGGAAAGUCAAGAAUGCCAAGGAUAGGAUGUGACUUUUAAUAGGAGGGAAGAUCUCCUGAGAAUAUGACAUGAGGGAGCAGGCCAUGCUGAUAUGUGAAGUAAUAAUCUGUUCCAAGCAGGAAAAAGAGCAAGCACAAAGUCCCUUUGACAGGAAUGUGCCUGGUGUGUUUGGGGAGUUCCAGUGCAGUUGAUAUGGCUGGAUCAGUGGUUUUCAAAAUGUGUUUUCCCAAAACCAGCAACACCAGCAUUACCUGGGAAGUUCUUAAAAAUAAAAAUUCUUAGGCUGCACCUAAACCUAUGAACAAGAAACCGAGGAUGAAGUUCACAUUCUGUUUUAAAAAGACUUCCAGGUGAUUCUGGACUAGAGUUAAGGACAAAGUGGUAGGUGAUGAGAUCACACAGCAGAAGAUACAUUUCAUAAGAGCCUUGUGAAGCACUAUAAAGACUUUAAUUUUUACUCUGAGUAAUUGGAAGCCUGUGAAAGCUUCUGAUCAUAGGAGUGACAUGAUCUGACUUGUUUUUACAAAGAUCAUUCUGGCCACUAUAUAGGAAAAAGAUGAUAAGACAGCAAGAAUAGGAGCAGGGAAACCAACUAGAGGAUUACUUGUGGCAAUCCAAGUGAAGAACAAUGGUGGCAUUUUAUACAUAAAGAAACCAAGACUCCACUCUUAUGCACCAUACUAAUUGCCUUUAUUUACCAUCAAGAGUACUGAAAAUGGACCAUGAAAGGAAAGGAGUCCACAUUCCUCAACAGAAAUGAGAGCCAGAACUUAGACUUUCUUCCUAAGUCAGGUCUGUGCUGACAGAGGAGUUUCUGGGUUGCUUUGCCUUGAAGAACUCUGCCCUACAUGUGAGCUUGGAAACAUCUCUUGUAGCUAUCACAUUCCACACCCAUCCCCCAGUUCCCUGCGCUCUAUUUAGUGAGCCACCGUGUCCUAGGAGAUGGAAAGGCCUAGUCCUUGCCUUUGGGAAAACAGCAUCAGGACCAUGUGUUCUGGCUGGUUUCCCAUUCAAUAUCAUAUUGAUGUUGAAGUCACGGGACAGAGAUUGAGGGCGAAAUUAACAUUAACUCAAUGUUAAUUUUUUUUCCCCACUACUAGGGAUUGAAUCCAGGGCACUUUAUUACUGAGCUACAUUCCCAGCCCUUUUUUCCCCCCAGCCCUUUUUUAUUUUUUAUUGUGUGACAGGGUCUAGCUAAAUUGCCUAUGCUGGCCUUGAAUUUAUGAUCUUCCUGCCUCAGUCUCCCUAAUUACUGGGAUUACAGAUGCAUGCCACUGUGCCCAACUUUGAUUGUGAUUUAAUUGUAAAUGGCUGUUACACAAAGUGCUGGGUAAAUGGGGCUGCAUCUUUUUUUUUUUUUUUUCUGCAUCAUAUUUUCAUUCAUCAUUUGCAUUUCCUGAUCCAGCAUAAAUAACAUGCAGGGAGGACUAUGAAAGAACUCUGCCAAAGACCAGGGCAGCCAACAGGAAACCUUCACUUUAGUCUUCCACAGCAGGGGACAGCCUCAAAAAAAAAAAAAAAGUCUCUGUGACCAUCUCAAUUUCUCCAUCCCAUUUCUCUCUUGUUUAUCUUCCCCUUCUUAUAUCACUGCCUAGCUCUUUCUGCCUCCUAGAGGAGUCUGCUCCUGGGUUGCUGCAGCCUUUAAACUGAAACAUGUCUUCCCACCUGAAAAGAGGCCCUAAUUCCAAUAAACCUAAUUGCUGCCUCAUUAAAAAGUUGGCACUUUUUUAUAAUUUUUUUGCGGGGGUGGGGGUUCCUGGGGGUUGUACCCAGGGGUAUUUAUCACUGAGCUACAUCUGUAGCCCUUUAUUUUUUAUUUUGACACAGGCUCUUGCACAGUUGCUAAGGUUGGACUCAAACUUUGUGAUCCUCCUGCCUCAGCCUCCCAAGUCACUGGGAUUGCAGGAAUGUAUUCCUACACCCAGUUAUUGACACUAUUUUAAAGGAGUUGGCUUUAUGUGGAUUUUUUUUUUUUAAGGAUGAAAAUGUGAGAUUUUUCUUAACUUUUGCCCAAGGUAAGCUCAGUUUCUUAGUUAAAUAACAUAUCCCAUGAAUGUGGUCCUUAAUCUAAUUAUCCUUCACAAUUAAGGGUAAUGUUUACCAAUUAAAAGAAAACCAAACAAUGUACAUGUUUUCAAGAAAUGUGUUUCAAAUUAAAAUAUAUUUAUAUUCCUUAAUUUGUAAUUUUACGAAUCUGGUAUGUGUUUUUAUUCUCAUUUUCAAGCCAAAAAACUUUUAGAAAUGAUAUGUCAGGAUCAGGGAAGGUUGACAAUAGCAGAUCCUACAAAGCGACGCAGGUCAUGUGGUGAUUUUAGUAUGCACUAAUAAUGCAUAAUAAUAUAAUAAUAAUAAUAAUGACAGAACAUCACAGAAACCACCUUUGGAGAUACACUGCACAUGAAGCAAGGGUUUUCACUUCAACUUUGAAAAGCAUGAAAAUCAUUUCCCCACUAAGGAUGUGAGGCUUAUUCUACAAAGACUUCAUGCAGAUUGACUAAAGACCCAGGUCACUUGUAUGACAACAUUUGUUUGCUCAAAUGACUGGUUCAUGGGUUCUGAUGGUGACUCUUAACAACUGAGAAGCUCCCAUAGGGGCCAGAUAUUUGCUUUUCCCUUCUCUUCCAACAAUUUUUCCUUAACUUUUUUAUUUUUUAUGAAAAGAAAUUAUCUACAGUAUGGUAUAAGCUAUAAACAAGUGAACUCAGAAUGAAAUAUUGAUAUUUUUAUAGUUAAGUGGUUCAUAAACUAAAUUUAGGAUCUUUCCACAGAGGCAGUUGCCCCUGUUCCUAUAUGUGGAAUAUGGAAACCUUGAUACCAAAAACCCGAAAUUUUACCAAGUGUGACCUCUACCUUGGCUUUCAAGUCUGACCCCAGGGUCUGUCCUCCUCCCCCAAUUCCCCCAAUGGGUAUAGCUCCACCGGAAGCAGGCCCCUGAAAACUUACCACCCAUGCCUCUGCCCUUGUUUUCUUCUACCUUGUAUGUCCUGCUAGUACCCAAAUCUAUCCUUACUUUCAGACUCAGUUAAAAUCCCAGCCUCUCAGGACAGGGGAUGUGGCUCAGUGGUGAAGCACUUCCCUGUCAAACACCAGGUCCUGGGUUCCAUCCCCAACACCAAAAAGAAAAAAAAUCCAGCCCCCCCCCCCACCCAGAUGGCGUGUUCUUCCAAACCAAAACUCCUCUAGCGUGUAAUUGUAGAAUUCAUAGAGAUUUCAAAAGCCACCUUAGUCACUCUCUUAGCUCUUGAGCUUCUCGGUUCCUUGACCUCCACUCUCUUGUCCUCAGUCCUCAGCUGCCACUCAGAGUUUAUAUCCUAGAUCAGUUUUUUUUUUUUUUUUUUUAAUCUGAAAAUGUAAAACUUGAGAAGGCAGCAGAAUAUCUCAGUGGUUUCCAGGCUUUUCCUUUGCAGACAAAAGUCACAUACAGUCUCCAACAUUUGAAAGAGAAAGUCCAGUUUAUAAAACAUUAUGGUUGAAGUAGAGGGGGCACCUAGAGCUCUGCUUUGUUGGCUUUCCCCACUCUAGAAAGAAACAACAAGCCCAAACACUUCACCAGGCCCCUCUAAGAACCACCCUGAAGUGGUUCCUGUGAAAUUCCUCCCUUCAUGCCUAAUCCUAUGAAGCCAACAAUUCUUUCUGACCCUAGGCAGUGUUUGGGAAAUGUGAAAAGGCCUUUUGAAGGUGGAUCCAAUUAAACCAAAGGUGUAAAAUAUUCCCCGAACUCACUUACCUAUAAGGAUGAUGAUCAGUAGUCUGAAAAUUCCUAAGACAGGAAUCAUUUCUCGAAAAUUCUUGCAAAGAGAUAAGUCACAAUAAUGUAAGCAAUCUGUUGGCAAAGGAAACCUCAGCUCUACCCCCUCUUCACCAGCUCUGUGAUUGAAACCUAUGUUUAAGCAUCAGAUAUUUGCCAAACAAAGCAUUGUUGUAACAGCCAAGUUUUUUAAAAAAGUUUUUAAGAAAUACAAUGCUAGUGCACUUUGGACAAUAAAAUGAAGCAUGGCAUUUAAUUCUAUGAUUUAUGACUCAAUUUAGGGGGCUGUGGGUACAGCUAAGUGGUAAAGCAUUUGCCUAGCAUGUACAAGGCCCUGGGUUCAAUCCCCAGAACUGAGGGGGAAGGGGGAAAUUUUAUUAGCUGGAAAUUAUCUAAAUAUAGAUAAUAAAAAGUCUACACUGAAUAUGUCAAAAAAUGAAUAUAUGGGUGGAUAGUUAGAUAAAUAAAUGCCAUUAACCUAAGACUGAUGCAGUAGUUCCAAGCUUUUUUUGGAAAUACUUAUUCGCUACUUCUGUCUACGGCCAUACCACCCUAAACGCGCCCGAUCUCGUCUAUUCACUACUUCUUUACUCUCUUUUCCCAUAGUAGCUAGCAAAGACUUAACUAAAAUUUGAGUAUCAAUUCAAUUUUUUUUAAAGUAAUUUCAAAAUAAAGGAAAAUGUUGAUCAAAAUACAUUGUUCUAUUUUAGCUUUGAAAAAAUGUGCCUGCCUGUGAUAGCCUUGGUGUCACUUAAAAAACUGCUGAGUCACAUACUCCACUUUAAUUUACUGAGUUGCUUCUCCCUCCCCUUCAAGUUAUUAACUCCCUUCCUAUGAAGUGAAGAUGCUGCACCAGGGGUGUUAAUUCUAUUUUCAAGCUUCUGUGAACAUGACCUACAGUAAGAAAUAAUGUAACAACCCACUGCACACAUAAAUCAAAGAGUGCCUUCUCCUAGUCCAUGUGACACACGCUGAAAUUUUUGUUUGUUUGAUUUUGGAGCCCAGGACCUUCAACUGAGUUCACAACCACUAAUGGGUUGUAAUCCAACGUUUGAAAAAUAUUUUUCUAAGAAGUAACUUAUACCUCUGGAACAGUUUUAGAAUUGCUUGGUAUUUGUCCUACUAGAGUGAUUUUAUAGUAUACCUAAAAUGGGUAAAAGGUUGAAGCCAAGUCAGGAUUUUUUUCCUGUGUUAAGAAAUGGUUGGCACUCACAUACUAUCAUGGGAAUGUAAAAUUAUAUGCCAGUUUUGGAGGGCAAUUUGGAAUUUGCAUAUUGAAAUGUUAAGUUUUCACCUAGUAAGUUCACUUCUAGGAUUUUAUCCUAUCAAAAAGAAAAAAACCACAAAUGCAAAACAUAAAUGUAAAGGAACGUUCCCUACAGCAUUAUUUAUAAUGUGAAAAGCAAAAUGGCCCCACAUUUCUUUAAUAUUUAUUUUUUUAAUUGUAGUUGGACACAAUACCUUGUUUUAUUUAUUUAUUUUUAUGUGGUGCUGAGGAUUGAACCCAGGGCCUCGCACAUGCUAGGUGAGAGCUCUACCGCUGAGCCACAACCCCAGCCCACCCCACUUUUUUUUCAAUGAGAUUCUGUUAAAAAAAAAAAAAUCAUGAUACAAAUAUACAAAGGAUGCUCUAGAGCCCUGCAAAGGCAGAGGGAGCUCUCUGUGUACUGACAUGGGUGGAUGGCCAGGAUGCCCCAUGAAGAUGCAGAACAGUACAAGGGGAGGCCAUUUCUGUAUAAUAUUGGUGGAGUUUAAAUACAUAUAGAAAAAUGUUUAUACAUGCAUGUCAGACUGUUAAAAAGACAUUAUACUGGGAACCUUGACUUUCUUUUUUUAAACUUAAAAUUUUAUUUAUUCACAUUACUUUGUCCUUCCCCCUUCCCUUGCUACUAGAACAGAACCCAGAGGUGUUCUUCCACUGAACUACAUCCCAACUCUUUUUAUUUUAUAUUUUGAGAUAGGGCCUCAACUAAAUUGCUUAAAUUCGCCUCAAAUUUGCAAUCCUCCUGCCUCAGCCUCUUGAGUCACUGGAAUUACAGGUAUGUGCCACCUUGCCUGGCUAAUCCACAUUACUUUUGAGAUAACAAGAAAAUAUAAAAUAUGAAGGAUAAACUCUGAGGGCCAUAUGAUUCUCAGAAAGAUGAGUAUUCCCUAAAUAUUGUUAAAUGAAGAUUCUCUGAACCAAGUAACAGUUAUUGUUUUGGAAAAAAGCGGAAGCAAAGGAGAUAGCUCAAUGGUAGACCACCUGCCUAGCAUGCCCAAGGCCCUGGGAUCAAUUCACAGCACUGCAAAAAUCAUCAUCAUCAUCAUCAUCAUCCUCCUCCUCCAUAGAUUCUGUUCCCAAAGUUCUUACCACUAGAACAUUCAUAAAAUAACCUCCCAUCAGGGCAUAGACUCCUCCUGAAGCACCCACGAGAGACCUGAGUGGAUCAAAAAUGGAACUGGCAAGGGAACCUAAAGAAAUAAAACGCAAAGGAUCAGACAUGAUGAGAAACAUGAGAUACAAAUCUUUCCAAUCUAAGGUAAAAGUUUGGAACAGAGCUUCUCCAAUUGUCCUUUUGAACAGUAUGUCACAGAAAGAUUGAAGAUGGAUAGAGGUGUGCCUUUUUUUGAAAAGCCAAAGAAGAGAAACAAUGAGAGCAAAAUUGAAAGGAGAACUUAAAAGAAUCCAGAGAAGAAGAAAGCAUUUAAGAAGCAGUACCUGUGGAGGUUGAGGAUCUGGAAACUGGCUCCUUCAAAGCCAUCAGUUGCAGGAUGACUGGCAUAUUCCACACACCCUCCCCAGGCACAUGCAGAGCUAGGUGGAAUUCCUGGCCACCCAUCUACAACUCUGUCUCUUACAUAAGAAAGCACAUGGGACUGCAAGUUAGCAAGAAGAACAUCUUUGAAUCUGCUCCAAGUUAUACAAAUGUAAAUUAUUCAUAAAUUUCAGCGCUUUUAUUAGAAGGAACAGUUAGCAGUGAUCCAGUGUACAACUAAGGACAAAAUGUUAAUUGACCAGGACAUGGGACAACUCAAGAGGCUGUUCAUGAGCAAACCAUCACAAGGUCCUAAAAGAAAAUCUUAUUUCCUCAUUAAGGAGAGGACCCCACUAGCCUGAAAACCUCUGUCAACACCUAGACCCUGUGCAUUGGUCACACUUUUGAAAUGCAAAUCAGGGCCUUUGGUAUAAAGUCCAAGUUCAUUAACAAGGUUCACAAAGGCUUCCUGACCUGAGACCUAUUUUUCCACUUUCAUUUCUUGCCAUUCCCUGCAAUACACCCUAUAUUCCAGCCUACUGAACCCUGAGCAGUUCCAGCUCCCACUUUCCACUAAGCCUCUUCAUAAGCUUCUCCCUCUGUUAAAACAUCUUCCCUUCCCAGUUUGUUCUCCUGGGGAAGUCUGAGUACCCCUCUGACCUUUACACCUCCUCUGCAAAGCCUUAGUGGGCAUCUAUCUCAUACCUGGUGCUGUGCUAGGCCCGGCAGAAACUAUGUGAAAGAAAGCAGGCAUGGUAGAAUUAAAUGCCCCUCUUAGGCCCCUCAGCAGCCUCUGCUCAUGUCUAAAGUAUAUUCUUUGUAUUAUAACUGUCACGAGAUGUGAACAUCCCCAAACAGAACUUUUGUCUUACUUAUCUUUGAAUCUCUAUUAUCCCAAUCAAUGGAAUCCAUCAAUAAAUAUCUGUCAGCUUCAUUUAUUCACAAAAGAUUUGCCCAACAGUUUUACCCUAGAGACAUACAAGGUGCUGGUAACAUAACUGUGAAUUAACAGACAUGAACUCACCCUCUUGGAACCUUGCAGUCUCGUGGGAUGAACAGGGCACUUGAUUGAAUGAAUGAGUGAAUAAAUUAAUGAAUCAGAGAAUGUGCUCCUCCCCACCUGGCUGAGGCAGCCCAAAGCUGAAGAUGCACAGGAAGUGAAAAGACUAGUGUCUUAAGUAGUUGAGGGAUCAUGAUGGCCUCACUUUCAACCUUUCUAGUACCAAGAAACUUAAGACAGGAAAGAGUCAGGCAAAGAGCAUGGAAUUUAGAGUCUGAUCUACAAGACUGAAUUCUAGAUCCAUUACUUACUAGCCAUGUGACUUUAGGUAAAUAAAUUCCUUAACCAGUGUUA